rnacentral:lncRNA from 1 species
UUCUAUCUGAUUUUUAAAUUUCAUAUUUCUUCACACCUGUCAAGAUCCAUCUAGUAUAUAAAGAUAUUUAAAGCUAAGGCCUUGUAUUAAUAUUGCAGAGAUGAGAUAUCGACAUGGUGAGAAUCAACGGGGAAGGGAAAAUUUUUUUUGCAUGAGAAGACUUUGAUCUUUGACUCACCAGUGUUGUACAUGACAUUAUAAGUUAAAACAUGCAACAAUGAUUAAUGAAGACAAAGGGCCUGCUUGGCAUCACUGCAAGUUUCUUAUUUUUGAUUUUGAUUUCAGGAAACACACAAACUGAGGCUAGAAACUCAUUUCGUUACCUUUUUUGCUUUUUGAUUUUUUGAAAACACUUCCAGAAUUUCUCAAAAAAGUGAAAGCUCUAAGGAGUAACUUUCACUUUUU